rnacentral:rRNA from 1 species
AACGUAGGGGGCGAGCGUUGCCCGGAUUCACUGGGCGUAAAGCGGGUGUAGGCGGUCCAUUAAGUCGGAUGUGAAAUCUCACGGCCCAACCGUGGAAUUGCAUCCGAAACUGGUGGACUUGAGGACGGUAGAGGCAGGUGGAAUACCGGGUGUACCGGUGAAAUGGGCAGAUAUCCGGUGGAACACCAGUGGCGAAGGCGGCCUGCUGGGCCGUUCCUGACGCUGAGACCCGAAAGCCAGGGGAGCAAACCGG